ACACGACUACAUUAGAUACCCCGGUAGUCCCAGCCGUAAACUAUGCGCGUUAGGUGUAUCGGUGACCACGAGUCACCGAGGUGCCGAAGGGAAACCGUGAAACGUGCCGCCUGGGAAGUACGGUCGCAAGGCUGAAACUUAAAGGGAUUGGCGGGGAGCACCACAACGGGUGGAGCCUGCGGUUUAAUUGGACUCAACGCCGGGAAGCUCACCGGAUAAGACAGCGGAAUGAUUGCCGGGCUGAAGACUCUGCAUGACUAGCUG
rnacentral:rRNA from 1 species